CUGGGAUUGUUAGUGUGCCCUGUACCUCCCCAGCCUGCCAGGCAGUGCAGGGGCACCGAUCAGUGUGCAGGCCCUGAGCUACAAGGAAAGGUUAUUUACUCAAGGCUGGCCGAGGGCAGGGCUUCACCUGAAGCCAGCUGGCCUCAGCCAAGGGGUCACCCAGCAUCUCUAAAGCCAAGUUCAUGGUCUGAAAUUCUGCUCUCUGGAGGAUAUUUACAUGUGCACUUCCCACAGAUCAACCACACUUUUCCAGAGGCAUCGCUGUUGGAAUAAAGCCCCUAAGGAAGACUCCGUGCCAAGCAGCAAAAUGGCAGUCUUGCUUUGCAGUGCCAACACAGAUGUCACUCACCACUGGCAGCUCACACUGAGCUGCUGCAGCCUGAGGAGCCCACUCUUCAGACACAGAAGGCAGCUCUGAAUCCAUCCAACUAUUUAUUGGAAUAAAGCUUUGAAUGUAAUAAAGCUUCCUUUCUUG
rnacentral:lncRNA from 1 species